GUUCUGGGGGCUGGACAACUGAACUUAUUGGAUGAGGCUGGACUACCUGAAAAAGAAAUAAGGGUGGGCAGUAUAUCAGUCAAGGCUUUCCCAAGGAAACAGAACAGGUAGUGUAACAAGAUGAUUAAGAUCUGAGACUCUGGAGUAAAACAGAAGGAUACAAGUCCCUACUCUGGCACUGUGGAUUAUGCAUUUUCUAAUUUGCAAAAAGGAUAAUCUAAAUGUCCAGAAGGUUGGGAGCUGGUGUGAGCUUACACACUUUGUAGGAGGCAGAAGCAGGAGCUGAAUCUGGGCAUUUGAUUCAAGAAUACAUGUGUCCCUACAGAUGCCCAAAUUUUUGAUUGGAAAAGUUGCAAGAAUGCAAAUGCAAAUGAUGGUCUUGGAAUGUGGUUGUUUCUCUGAAGAGCAGGAGAAUGUAAUAAACCCCAAGUGAAAGUGACUUCGAUGAUGAAAUGAGGCAUCCCAGGGUCUAAGCAGCAGUCUCUCACGUAUUGCCAACGCGAAGACAGAAGCCCCUCUUGGCUCCUGUUGCCAUAAGGAGAGAAUACGAAAACCCCUGCAGAUAUGCCACCAAAAACAUAGUGGUAGACCAGAGGCGUGGGAGAGCGCAGAGAGACCGGGUGCAGGCGCCAGGAGCAAAAGAAGCCGGCAGGCAGGAAGCAGAGCAGAAGCCCGGCUGGUAGACAGGUGGAAACCCAACCCGAACACCCCACGCUCGAGGUCGCCAGCGGCAGAGUCAAAGGAAGGAUAGAGGUAGGAAGGCGCGGCGCCCUAAAGAUGCCCCGGGCACGGCGCACGAGUAUCAGCACCCGGGAGCUUAGAGCGAGCGCGCGGGGUCCCAGCAGAGGGAACACCAGAGAGCCCCGGUUACCUGUGCUGCCUCCGCUCUGGCUGCCCCUGUCAGGG